rnacentral:rRNA from 1 species
AACCGAGCUUCGACCGUGACCCCAGGUCAGACGGGAUCACCCGCUGAGUUUAAGCAUAUC